UACGUAGGGUGCAAGCGCUGUCCGGAAUUAUUGGGCGUAAAGAGCUCGUAGGCGGUCUGUCGCGUCGGCUGUGAAAACCCGGAGCUCAACUCCGGGCCUGCAGUCGAUACGGGCAGACUGGAGUUCGGCAGGGGAGACUGGAAUUCCUGGUGUAUCGGUGAAAUGCGCAGAUAUCAGGAGGAACACCGGUGGCGAAGGCGGGUCUCUGGGCCGAUACUGACGCUGAGGAGCGAAAGCGUGGGGAGCGAACAGG
rnacentral:rRNA from 1 species